ensembl:snRNA U1 U1 spliceosomal RNA
AUACUUACCUGGCAGGGGAGAUACCUUGAUCAUGAAGGUGGUUUUCCCAGGGUGAGGCUUAUCCAUUGCACUCCGGAUGUGCUGACCCCGUGAUUUCCCCAAAUGCAGGAACCUCUACUGCAUAAUUUGUGGUAGUGGGGGGACUGCAUUCACACUCUCA